AUUGAACGCUGGCGGAAUGCUUUACACAUGCAAGUCGAACGGCAGCACGGACUUCGGUCUGGUGGCGAGUGGCGAACGGGUGAGUAAUGUAUCGGAACGUGCCCAGUCGUGGGGGAUAACGUAGUGAAAAUUACGCUAAUACCGCAUACGAUCUAUGGAUGAAAGCGGGGGAUCGCAAGACCUCGCGCGAUUGGAGCGGCCGAUAUCAGAUUAGGUAGUUGGUGGGGUAAAGGCCCACCAAGCCAACGAUCUGUAGCUGGUCUGAGAGGACGACCAGCCACACUGGAACUGAGACACGGUCCAGACUCCUACAGGAGUCAGCAGUGGGGAAUUUUGGACAAUGGGCGAAAGCCUGAUCCAGCCAUUCCGCGUGCAGGAUGAAGGCCCUCGGGUUGUAAACUGCUUUUGUACAGAACGAAAAGGUUUCUACUAAUACUAGGAGCUCAUGACGGUACUGUAAGAAUAAGCACCGGCUAACUACGUGCCAGCCGCCGCAGUAA
rnacentral:rRNA from 1 species